rnacentral:rRNA from 1 species
GACGAACGCUGGCGGCGUGCCUAAUACAUGCAAGUCGAGCGAACAGACCCUGCUCUUGCUCCUCUCACGUUAGCCGCGCACGUGUGUGUAACACGUGUAUACCCUCCCUAUCAUACUGGUAUCACUUCGGGACACCGGAGCUUAUACCGGAUAAUCUCUUGAACCGCAUGGUUCAAUAGUAAAAGACGGUUUUUCUGUCACUUAUAGAUGGAUCCGCGCCGCAUUUGCUAGUUGUUACUGUAAAGGCUUUCUAAGGCAAGUAUGCGUAGCCGACGUGAGAGAGUGAUCGGCGACACUGGAAGGGGAACACGGUCCAGGGUCCUGCGGGAGGCAGCAGUAGGGAAUCUUCCGCAAUGGGGGAAAGCAUGACGGAGCGGCGCCACGUGAGUGGUGAAAGUCUUCGGAUCGUAAAAAUCGGUUAUUAGGGGAAAACAAAUGUGGAAGUAACUAUGCACGGCGUGACGGUACCUAAUCAGAAAGCCACGGCUAACUACGUG